AUGGUAAUAUGGCUUGUGGGUUCUAUGAAACUACCUACACGCCGCCAUUUUGUUAUUUAAUAACAUGUGCUUGAAAAUGGGUGUGGCCGCGCAUGCUCAGAUCAUUUCUCUAAUUACUCGUAUGUAACAUUGAAAAAUGGUUACAGUGAAGCAGGAAAUCCUUCAGGAACAUCAAAAGUAGAUUAUCCAGUCUACUCUUGGUAAUGUAGAGGCACACUAUUCCUAUUUGUUCAAGUCCUAUUGUUGCAGUUAUUAUCUUUGUAGUUUGAGUUUCAUUACUGAUAAAUGUUUUCUGUUUCAUUAUUCAUAAUCAACUUUCUGUUUCAUUAGUAAUGUAACUCCUUAUCUAUGGUAGAGUACAA